rnacentral:rRNA from 1 species
CGCCAGACUCCUACGGGAGGCAGCAGUGGGGAAUAUUGCACAAUGGGGGAAACCCUGAUGCAGCGACGCCGCGUGAGUGAAGAAGUAUUUCGGUAUGUAAAGCUCUAUCAGCAGGGAAGAAGUUGACGGUACCUGAGUAAGAAGCCCCGGCUAACUACGUGCCAGCAGCCGCGGUAAUACGUAGGGGGCAAGCGUUAUCCGGAUUUACUGGGUGUAAAGGGAGCGUAGACGGCAGUGCAAGUCUGAAGUGAAAGCCCCGGGCUUAACCCGGGAAUUGCUUUGGAAACUGUACGGCUGGAGUGCUGGAGAGGUAAGCGGAAUUCCUAGUGUAGCGGUGAAAUGCGUAGAUAUUAGGAGGAACACCAGUGGCGAAGGCGGCUUACUGGACAGUAACUGACGUUGAGGCUCGAAAGCGUGGGGAGCAAACAGGAUUAGAUACCCUAGUAUC